rnacentral:rRNA from 1 species
AUACGUAGGGGGCGAGCGUUGUCCGGAAUGAUUGGGCGUAAAGGGCGCGUAGGCGGCGCGGUAAGUCUGGAGUGAAAGUCCUGCUUUCAAGGUGGGAAUUGCUUUGGAUACUGCCGCGCUUGAGUGCAGGAGAGGUUAUCGGAAUUCCCGGUGUAGCGGUGAAAUGCGUAGAGAUCGGGAGGAACACCAGUGGCGAAGGCGGGUAACUGGACUGCAACUGACGCUGAGGCGCGAAAGUGUGGGGAGCAAACAGGAUUAGAUACCCUGGUAGUCCACACUGUAAACGAUGAAUGCUAGGUGUAAUAGGUAUCGACCCCUUUUGUGCCGGAGUCAACACAAUAAGCAUUCCGCCUGGGGAGUACGGCCGCAAGGUUGAAACUCAAAUGAAUUGACGGGG